UACGUAGGGUGCAAGCGUUGUCCGGAAUUAUUGGGCGUAAAGAGCUCGUAGGCGGUUCGUCGCGUCGGCUGUGAAAUCCCGAGGCUCAACCUCGGGUCUGCAGUCGAUACGGGCGGACUGGAGUUCGGCAGGGGGAGACUGGAAUUCCUGGUGUAGCGGUGAAAAUGCGCAGAUAUCAGGAGGAACACCGGUGGCGAAGGCGGGUCUCUGGGCCUUACCUGACGCUGAGGAGCGAAAGCAUGGGGAGCAAACAGG
rnacentral:rRNA from 1 species